UACAGAGGGGGCAAGCGUUGUUCGGAAUUACUGGGCGUAAAGGGCGCGUAGGCGGCCGCCUAAGUCAGACGUGAAAUCCCUCGGCUCAACCGGGGAACUGCGUCUGAUACUGGGUGGCUUGAAUCCGGGAGAGGGAUGCGGAAUUCCAGGUGUAGCGGUGAAAUGCGUAGAUAUCUGGAGGAAUACCGGUGGCGAAGGCGGCAUCCUGGACCAUAACUGACGCUGAGGCGCGAAAGCUAGGGGAGCAAACGGG
rnacentral:rRNA from 1 species